CUCAAUGUGGUUAUUUACUUAAAUGCAAAGUCUGCAUUAAUUUAUCUUGUUCUGAAUGGCCCCAUAUUUAUUAGUAAGGUGGAUUUGCAGGUUUUAACUUUUAAACCUCAAAUUCCUGCUUUUAAAUUCCCAUUUAGAAAGCUUCAAAAGAAUGACAAGUCACUUAGUGCAGUUACUAGAAUCAUUUUUGAGGACCCAUAAUCAGCAUCUACUUUGAAUAACAAUUGAAAGAGCUAAGAGGAAUUACUUCAUUCAUCUUCAAACAAGGCUACAUGGAAAGAGCAGAGGAAGACUGAGCAGUUCGUAGUGCACACACGAUACAUACCAAAGUAAGAUUGCAGUAUGCUACAUCUAGCACACUUAUUUAUGGCUCGCUAGCAGAAAACCAAAACACCAUCUAAGCAUAACAGGCUCACAAACUCGGUCUAGUUAUUACAACCAUGCAUGAGUAAAAUCAUGGACGAAUUGGUGCUGGAACACUGCCACCACCUCCAGGAAUGGGAACCUCAUAGCCAGGGUUAGGAACAAAGGUGUCAUCACCACCGGGAACAUAACUGCGUCCUGGUCGACCCGAUCCUGAUCCGGCUCCAGCUCCUGUUCCAGCUCUUCCAGCGCCACCAGUAAAUGGAUUCUGGGGUAUAAGCCCAUGCUUUGGUGGAAAUCCUACUGGUCCAACGCCUGGAAUGUACACUCUGCCAUCAUGCUUGAACAAGAACUCAGGCUCUUUCUUGUCCUGGGUGUUAGAGUUCAUGGCAAUGUUGCUUCGUCCAGCAACUGCGACAAGGAGGAUAUUGGAGAUGAGAAGGAGUGAGAGUAAAAGGGAAACUCUGUGAGCCAUUCUCUCUCAGAUAACAAGUGCAAAGAGGUUAUCAGUGAUGUGUAUUCUGGUAUUCAACAACUUUUGAGUUGAAGAAGCUAGAAGGGGGUGACUGCAUUAUAUAGUUCUAGAUUCUGCAGUAUUGAGUGAACUUUGGCGGUGAGUAAAGUGUUUCUUGAGGAAAUGUCGCUGGCAGGGUCGUGGUUCAUGAAUCAUGAUGCAUGCUAGUAAAUCAUUUGUUCAGCCUCAGUUUAUUAUUACCAUUUGUAGAAGAUAUUCACCAAAGUUGUAUCGGCUACUAAAUGCAGCCUUCACAUGGCUGAUUUAUGCACCGUAAUAUGUAGAAAUCUUGGGAUUGCUUCUACCUACAUUCUAGAUGUUUUAUUACUUUCACUUGCUAGUUGUUACUUGAGCAUUUUUUAAGCUGAAAGAGAAGUGGUAGUUAAUGCACUAUGUAGCGGCACUUUCAACAUGCCCUUUUCACACCGUAAAAUAUUUGUAGGCAUACCCAUUGUGCAGAUAUCCAACAGACAAGAUAUCCAGAGUGAGAAAGAAAGAAUUGAGAGAGAACUAACUAAUGUGAUAUACGAUGGAAUAAAAAGAUAGGAAGAGAAAUGAGAAAUCUGUUGGAUGUCUGUACUGUUUGUAUGUCUGACUAUCAUUCACAAUCCAGUGAAAAAGAACAAUUGUUUUUAAGGAAAACGUUACCAACACUCAUUUUUAACACUUUUUCAUUAAUGAUUGAAAUUAAUAUUGGUCCACUAAAAAUAUUGGUUCCCCAUCCAAUUCACAUAACUCAGAUUCUCUUCUUCAUUUUGCAUCUUCCUUCGUUUCCUGGGCUUGAACCAUCAUGGGCUUGGCCCAUUCACCAUUUAGCUGCCCCUUCCCUUGAACUCCACUAUAUUGGGAGUUCAAUUUUGUAUUUCCCACCACCUUAGAUCAUAUUUUGAAAUUGAAUUUAACGGUGCUCACUAGGGUGGGCACUUUGCAUUUUGGUCCACUGGUGGACUAGGGGAUAUUUUAGACUUUUUCGUUCCUUUCUUUCUCCCUUCCACUCUACCUUCCACACUACCUUGAGUACCAUCCUCAACAGAACAUGAAACGCCCUUUUACUCUGAUGAUUCUGAUUAUUAAGCUGCUUUAAUAUACUGGACAUUGAAAUUGAAAUUUCCAAUUUCCAUUACUUAUUAUUAUUUCUACUCCUCGAUCUCAAAUGAUUUCAAUCUCUGUAAUAUUUGUUUGUGUUAAAUUUCUAUAUAAACUAGAAAACAAAAGGAUCCAUGGAAAUGCAUGUUAGCUCACCCCUAUAUUAUAUCAAUUCUUCAGAUUUUUGUCAAACCCACACCCACACAUACAGAUCUGAAACAAAUGUAGUUUGCUCCUGAUUCUGGAAUUGGAUUGAUCGAUCCUUAUUUAAUUUCCGUUUUUUAACAGUGUUGCUGCUACUCCUCCUUUCAAGACCAGUGUUGAAAAUUGGUUCUGUCAAUCGAACCCAGAUCUGAAGAGUGGCGACACGGUGAACGCGUGGAUCGAGUUCGAUGGGUCCAUUCAGGGGUUGAAUGUUUGGGUCUCGUAUUCCAAUCUGAAACCGAAAGAUCCCAUUUUAUCGAUGAAUCUUGACAUGGGUCCGCUUCAACGCAUGAUAACAUGGAGACUCACCGGGUGGGUGGAGUGGUGGAGCUUCAACUCGUCAUUUGGUGGAACAGGUUUCUCAACAGCGUCGUCGCCGCCGCCGCUCCUUCUCCGGACCCGUCCGAAAAUACAUCGAAUGAGAUUUGGGAGCGGUUGAUGGGGUUGUCACUGCAGGGGCUUUCGUUUUGGCUCUGUUUGCAGGGUCGCUGUUUUGGGUUUAUUCUAAGAAGAUGAUGAAGCAAGUUAACCGUUCUGAUUCUCUUGGAUAACUGGUAUUAUGCAAGGCCAGCAAAGGCACACCCUCAAUGCACUUUCUCUGAACUAGUCACGCAAUACCCAUGACCAAAACAACCAGAAAAAAAGGGUCUUUUUACUUUUUUACCCUUUGAUCAUCCAUCAAAUCCUAGCCAUCUAAAUAAAGAAUAUUCCAAGAUUCUUAAAUCCAACGGUGUUUAAGUUUGGUCCACCGGUGGACCAAAAUGCAAAGUGCCCACCCUAGUGGGCACCGAGUUUAACUCCUACCUUAUCUCUAGAAACCCUAACAUGCGAAUUAUCAAGUGUGAUCUCCUUGUGGCUUCUUCUCACUUUGCUUAUCAAUCUUCUACAUGAUGAUUGUGGUUUAACCAUCCAUCACUCUUUUCUCCUUCCAUCUUUGUAUUUUCUUCUUCCAAAAAUUCAUCUCAUUUUCUAUUUCCUUUCUUUCUUUUCAUUUUUUUCCCACUUUUCUUCUACAUACCAAACAUACUUAUACAUGGUUUGUUUAUAAGGAAAAUGAGUGGAAUCAAAAGGGGAGGAAGAGAUUAUGAAUGGAAAAGUGUGUAUUCCAUGGUUGGGAUAAGUUGAAAAGGGUGGGGGAUGAAUAGAAAUAAUGUUUUGUUCAUAUUUCUUAUCAUCUCCAGCUUCAAUCUACAUUUGACAAUCCGGCAAAAAAUUUCUUGUCCAAAUUUUAAUUUCUAUAUUGGAUACAUUGAAUUGAAGUUUGCAAGUAACACUAAAACAAAACAUACACAAACAUUAUCGUUGUGUUUGCACUAACGCUCAAAAUAAACAACUUUCUUAACAGAGUGUAAGCAAAAUAUAUUAGGAACAAUUUUUUUCUCACUAGAAAACCGAAAAAGUAAAAAACAAAAAUGAGAUGGUCGAAAAGUGUAAGCAUAUAUGAUUGAAGUUGCAGGGCUCACAUCACAAAUAAUAACCGAAUCUCAUCAAUGAAUGUGAUGAGUUGAAGUUCAAGAAGACAGGUCACUCAAGUUGUCGUUGAAUGUUUAUAUCAUCAAAAACUAAUAAUAUAACUUGGAUAAAUUUUUUUUAAAAAAAUUAGUGCAAUUUAUUUAAUAUUCAUUUACAAGUGAAGAGCUUUGAUAUAUAUUUUUUAUCAUAAAUUCUUAUAUAUUAAAUUUUUAUAAUUUAUUCAUUUGUAUUUUAAAUAAUGAACUGAAUAGGGGAAAAGAACUCUUCCAUUUUAGAAUGUUACGGAAAGAACGCCAAAAUAUUUAAUAGUUUUAUUAAAUAAAAUCAAUACAUUUGACAUAAUUGACAUAAUAUAACUAAUAACGUUCCUUUUACGUUAGUCUUUUCCGAUUGGGCCCCCAUGCAGCUUUUUUAUGGCUUAUCAUCAUUUAUCAUGAUUCAGUUUACUUUACAUAAAGCUUUCAAUUAUACAUUUCCUUAAUAAGUAAUUUCCAGUUCAUGAUAAAAUGUUCUAGAUUUAGUUGGAGAUAUAUAUUUCAGUAGUAAUGGCACUCUAUCACCAAACAUUCAAAUUUGUUGGGAUUCAACAUUACCGGUAAAUCGUAUCCUUGCCAUUUUCCAUUUCAAAAAAAAUAAACAUUACCGGUAAGAAGAAGAGAAUGAAUAUUCCAUGAGCAUGGCAUACUAUAUAUAUAUAUAUGUUAAUUGUCAAAUUAUUCUUUGAAUUUAUAAGUGAGUUUGAUUUUAAACCCUCUUAGGAAAAAUGACGUUUAGUAACGGUCAAAAACCGUCAUUAAUUGUAAAAAUGACCACCCCUAAACGUUUUUUUCCUCAUAGAGACUAAACUAAAAUUAAACUCGCUUAUAAAGUCAGGGACUAAUUUGACCAUUAAUCAUAUAUAUAUAUAUGUGUGUGAGAGAGGGGGGGGGAAUCAACUUAGGGUCCGUUUUGAAACGAACCAAAAAGCACUUAUUCGAACUCUGCUCUCUGACAGUGACCAAAACCAAACUGGCUACAAUCGUGGGGAUGGGGACCAAGUUAUUUUCCGGGAAGAGACUAAAAUCAAAUUCUCUUACAAACAAGUGAUUAAUUUAAUGAUUAAACCUUAAUUUAAUUACUAAAAAAAUGAAUUAUUAAUCGCAAAAGUUUAAAAAUAAAAUUAUAUUAUUAUAAAUACAGUAUCCAACACAAACUUAGAAGGACUUUUAGGCUAAUGAAACAAUUUGUUCCUUCUACUUCUUCUGCAUUCAAACUCAAACAAUGGACUUUAGCUUACUUGCUGGAAUACUUUAGUGUUUGCUUGAUUUUCAAUUGAAAACCAUCCCCAAUUUAUGUUUAGCAAAGACAAGAAUUUUCCCUUGAAAAAUGUUGCAUUAUAUCUCAAGAUUACCUUUGCAAGAAUGCAAUCUGAUACAGAUAAACAUCUCAAUGCCUGUUAUCACCGCCUUGCAUUAUGCUGAAACACUUACAUUUUGUGACCUUAACUAAGCAUUAGUUUUCUACAAGUACUUUUAGUAAACAAAAGAGCAUCAAAAUGAUACCACUUCCACAAAAUUCUACUAUCUUGAAAUCACUGUUGCACCAGGUAUUAACAAUAAUCUAUCAUGAAUUUGGCCUUUCCUCAGAAAAUCUAGGAAGUUGAACAAGCGAGUUUACCCGAGUUACCCCCUCCAAACCUGACCAGUUUUGAUCAUCAGCGUAUGAUGUUGCAUCUUCAACAUCGACAGGUACUGCUCCAUUAGUCUCAUCUUCUUCCGAGGAUCUCACUGUGAAGUUCCUCUGCAAACAUGGCUCUGAUUUUUGUCCAUCAUCUGACUCAAUUGGGUUGCCUGAAUGGUUGCUCUGGAUGGUUGCAGAAGAAAAGCCUUGUUCAUCAUAAUCUGAUUCUGAGUCCAUUUUCCCAUCCAGAAAUAAGCACACAACAGCACAGUCAUCCAUCCUUGAAGUUGGAUAUUUAAGUUUCCACUCCCGAGCAGCGGAAUUUACCACUGUUCUAGCUGCUGAUGCUCGCGUUGGGGAUGAAGAUACAAUCUCAACCACCUCCUCAUUGCUUAAAACAUCCCAGACCUGAACAAAGCAUUAAGAGAAUCAAUAUCAUUCAGUGGAAGAUGGAAACUCAAAAGUCGAUAUCCUCUAAGUUACGUCCACUUCCCUUAUACUUGCACAUUCAAAGAACUUACUAUUUUCUUUUCCAUAUUAGAUAUUUCAAUGAAUAGCAUUAUUAUGUAGCGGAAAUGUUUUUCUACGUAGAUUGUAUAUAAACAAAGUUACUUUACAGCUCUUGUGCCUUUCAAAUGAACGAAUUGGUAUAUGACCAACAUUUUUUGCAACACCUUUCACGUAGAAAAUAUUUUCUGCGUAGAUUGUAUAUAAGCCAAGUUAAUUUACAGCUCUACAUGAAAGGUGUUGCAAAAAAUGUAGGUCAUAUAAUGUUCAUGCUAAAACAAACUUAUCCCACGAAUGAAAAGAAGAUAACUCUAUUUGGCAACCCAAAGAGAGGCUCUUUGUUUAUCUUCCGUUCAACUCCUGAAAAAUCAGAUAUCAGCACUUCACUCUUGUACCCCAAAAGAAAAAAAGAUAAGAAUAAUUCAAUAACAGGCCAGAAUGAGAAAGCUUGCAUUAUGAACAGAAUUUAUAUAUUUCUUCAUAUUGAAGAGAGCUUAUUGCUUAAGAAAUACCGCCGUCUGAGUUGUCAGAAUGCCAGCUAAUUUAACUGUAAUGGUGCAGAUUGACAAACAGCCCGAGAAGUUACUGGUUCAGUCAAAUUGCUAAACACUCUAUUUCCACUCAAUGGUUAGUUUCGAAAAGACACUUCUCAGUUUCCUUAUGACCAUAUGGUUCAUGCUAUGCUAGCCUAGAUAUUUGCCUACACUGACCACAUUUUCUUAUUUCAAUAUCACAGCUCGACCUUGUAAGAUGAUUUCUUCAAGGCAGCAACAAAGCCAUAUUAACCAACAGAAACCAACCUUGAAAUUGCAGAUCAUGUAUGCUAAAAUUUCCUAGUCGGACAGGGAUAAAAAUCAUAACACAAUUUCUGAAAUGGCAAAGCAUAAUUAAACAAAGUACUAAAGAAAUUGAUAUGACAUUGAAAAUUCUUAAUCUUACCCCAUCUGAGGCAAUUACAAUGAAUUGAUCUCUGUCUGUAAGUUGCCGGUGAGAAAAUUCUGGUAUGGAAAUCACACCAUACUCCUUCAAGCAGAAAUCUCCAAAUGCUCUAGCCAUUGCUAACCCUGGUGCAUCAUCAAAAGGCAACCACACCCUCGGCACUUCUGGCUCAUCUUGUAAAGCAAAUACCCUACCUUUGCAUCGCUUAAUUCUUUCUGCUUCCCCUAUAAGAGUUUCCAUCCAAGUUGGUGUCAAUAUCAACAGAAAAGCAUAUAUUCAACAGAGAAUAAAUGACGAUGGCAUAAGACAUACUUGGCAAAUCAGGCUUCAAAUCAACAGUCAACUGAACUGCCACCAUGGAGUCAUUGCUGUCCUUGGAUCCCAUGAUUGCUCGAGAAUCCCCGAUACUGGCCAUGAACAGAUUUGAACCCUGUUGAGAUAAGAAAUUAUAAAAACUCAAUGUGUUUGGAUGGGGAUUUAAUUGAGAGAAUAAAUUUGUUGAGGGGAUUUUACAUUGCUUAAUCCAAAAUACAGGAUAUCAAAUCAGAGUAUCUUGAAAAUUAAGGUAAUUUUAUAGGGUAAUUUCCUAACUCAAAAUAAAAGAUUUAAAAUUCCAUCCUUUUUAGAAGGAAUUUUUGAAAAUCCCUUCCCUCAAACUCUCCUCCUUUACCCCUCACCCUCAACCUAUCAAAUAUUCUCCACCAAAUUUCUUAAUUCCUGACAAAAGACUCAAAAAAUGACAAUAAUCAAAAUAAACCAAGUUAUUAUUUUCUUGAAAUUUUGAAUUGUACAUCCAAACACAGUAAAGUUAUGGAAAACAAGAGUUCAGAUCUGCUACCUGCUUUAUUAUAGUCACGGCUGUGCUCCCACUACAGAAGCAGUCUAGAUUUGGAUGAGACCUGAGUUCUUUGUCCAUAGCCUUGUAUGCCUUCAUUAAAGCUUCUCUCCAUGUCGAGUUCAGUUUAUCCUCGGCAGAACAAUCAUUCUCAGACUCUCCACUGUCAGGUUUUAUGUUCCCUUUGAAGCAACCUUUACCCGACCCAUUUCUCUUUGAUUCACCAGAAUGCAAAAAUGAAAGCAGUUUCAAUGGCAAGGUAUCCCUCACUUUGCGUGCAACAAGAUGACCAUGUGGACCAUGGCCAUCAAAGACACCACAAAAGGUCAUAUCUUCAGACAUGAAAUCCUGCAAAGCACAGAUUCAAAUUAGUAUGUUAGUCACUCCUUCAAUCACUCAUGAGCAAUGCUCAUGCAUCACCCGUAAUAAGAUGAACAUACUUACUUCCCACACAAUCAUGGCGUCCUGAUUAAUACCCUUGCGGCCUUGCUGCGUGAAUAUGCAGGACCCGCGGCUCUUUCCAUUAGCGAAAAUUCUGCUGGGUAAGGAGGGUAAAUGGUGUAGAGAAAUAACAUGAUCAGAAAAUGUUCUCCUUGUUGCUCUCUUUUGCCCACAGAAUCCAACUUCCAAGCAAGAUGGAGAGACCCUCUCUCCAUUGCUCCUGCUGCUACAAGUGCUUUUACUACUUGUUGAGACACAACAACCCAUCUGCUACAAAGUUGCUUCUCUUUUCCACUGUAGAUCUAAGUCUGGUCAAUUGAGCUAACAAUCCUAAACUCCAAAUAUUCUCUCAAGCCAAAAUAUAAGCCACUUUACAACUACUCACUGUAGAAAAAUGGGGCCUUUCCUCCACUGUCAAAUGAAGCUAUUUGAAAGGAUAAUGAAACCAGCUGAACACAAGAAAACAGGUGACUAUAUUAGUCAACAUAUGGUCUUCAAAAAUCAAGUCAUUGCAACAAGUAAAAAUAAUAGUAUAAAAAGAGAAAAACUCAGCAAAACAGGUAAAUAGACUAUACUAAAAAUUUGUCUGUAAUUGACAGGGUCAAAUGGAGGCUUUGCAAUAGUUUAAUCCAGAAACUGCUCAUUAAAAACUGAACCAAACAAGGGCACAAAAACAGGACACAAGAAACCUUGUCCUAUUACCAUGUUUCAAACGGGUUUAGACCCAAAGUUUCUGUCUUUCCUUUUUACUAAACAUAGAUAUUAGAUAUCAUCAGGCAGAUAAAAUAAAUAACUAGGCCAAGAAUCUCUAUAUGCACGCUCAACACAAUAAUAUAUUUUACUCAAGUUUACUGCAGAAGAGUUUCUCUCUCUUAAAUUCAAAACAACCCCAAACUAAACAAAAAUAAAAAGCCAUAGAAGAGGAGAAAAGAGGAGGAAACUUUGCAAAAAAAUUGAAAAAUAAACUUUUUGGACUAAUAAAGCAUCAGAAAGAAAGAAUAUUCAACAUAAAGAAGUACUAAAAAUAAAAUAAAAAUUGAUGUACUUGAACUCACGAAUCUGAAAGAGAUCCAACUUUGAAUUGGAAUGAAUACAUGAUAUGAACAAAACCAUUCAGUUACAGAACAAGAUUGUCCAUAGCCUGUCCUCAAUUGAUAUAUGGUAAUAAUGCAAAAAAGCCUGGUUCCCACUACACAGAAAUACGAGAAGAGAUGAUAAAGUAAGAAAACCCAAAAGCAGAAAAAGACGAAAGUGACUACGAUCUCUUCAACAAAGAAUCAAAAGAGACCCAAAAAAGGGACUAGAAGUUGAAGAUCAAGUAAAUGUUACGUAAUUAUCAUUAAAUUAAAGAGCAAUAGUGAAUUUCUAACAAAUAAUUAAGCAAAUUGUCCCCAUGAAAAUGAGGGUCAAACCAACCAAAAAAAUAGCAAAAAACAAGUAGAAACGUUCACAACACGAUGAGUAGUAGAAGAAAGUAACAGAACUGAUAACUACAAAACAGAACCCAAAACCGAAAAGGUGAAUACCCAGAUGAAAAAAAAUGCAGAAACAAGAGAAAUUAGGCAUUGAAUGAUGCAGAUCCUUCAUGAUCAAUUAUCCAAAGCAAGCAACAAAGCAAACUCAAAACGCAUGCCCACAUGGUAAAAAUGGAGGGGAUUGAACCAGUGCAAGUAAACAUGGAAAAUCAAGGGGGAAAGAUGAAAUUUUGUGACAGUUGUGAAGUGGGAAAAUGGUGGAGGUUAGAGAUUGAUUACCUUUCUGAGAAUGCAGGGGAAUAAGGUUGAGGAUCAGAGAAGAGCAGAGAGAGAUGAAAAGGAGUGAAAGAGAGAGGGGGUUUGAGUAUUAAUAAGGGAAAGUAGUAGUAGUAGUGUGGGUGUGUAUGGAUGGGGAUGGUAGUGCUGCAUUCAUUGCAAAAGCAGAGAGAGAGAGAGAGAGAAGACAGAGCAGAAAGAAAAGAGAAAAGCAGGGAAGAUAUGUCAAAAAAGAACAUAGUAAGAUUGUUAAUUUGUAAAAGUAGAUUUGGAUUGGUCCAUUUUAAUAGGGUGAGUCAGAAAAAAAAAUUAAUUAUAGUAAAGUUAUUAAUUAUUAUUAUUCAAUUAAAUUUUAUAAAAGUUAGUUUUAAUCUCUACUUAAUUGCACUUUUUUGUCAAUUUAGUAUCGCGAUUGUGUGAAAUUGUGUGAAGCACUCGCCAUGUUUUAAAAUGAUCGAUUUAGUUCUUUAUAGUAAAUAAAGAUCAUUGUAUACCAAGGGUCUAUUUGGUGGAUAUGAUAAGUAGACAGGAUAUGAUAGUGUAGUCAUAUCGUGCUCUAAUAUGUUGUUUGUUGUGCCAACUGGAUAAGAUAACGCAAUCAUGUCCCUUAUCCUAUCAUCUUCAUCCUAUGAAAAUAUUAUCCUUAGGAGAGAGAUGAGAUAAAGUUAUCCUGAUAGGAUAUGAUAUAUGUUAUCGAUUAUUUUUUAGUACCAUAACCCUAAAUUCAAUUAUUUCGAUAUUUAUAUCUUAUAUAAUUUAUAAUAAUAUUAAUUAAUAAAUAUAGAACUAUUAAUUUUAGUAAUAUACUAAUUUUAUUAUUUAUCAAUUUCUAGUUGUUGUUGUUAGGUUAAAAUUAUUUAGUAACUCAUUAAUUUAAUUAAAAGAUAAACUAUUUUAUUAAGGGUGAAAAUAUUUAAUUUUCUCAUAUAAAAUAAUUAAAUUAUCAUUAUCACUUGUUACUACUUAUUUAACCUUUUUUAUUUACAUUAUAAUAAAAAUAAAUAAAUUAUUAUUCACUAAUAAGGAAAUGGACUACUCACUUCACUGAUAAAUUAAUUUAUUAGUAGUAAAUAUAAACUAAUUUUAUAUUAUCAUUUGAAAUUAUUUAAAAAUAUUUCUCUACUUGUAUAGUAAUUUAUAAUGUAAAUUGUAAAUUACUAUAAAAUUUUGAAAAAUAAAAAUUUUAAUUUUUAAUUUUUAAUUUUUUAUCACUUGCCACUAAUAAGAACUAAGUUAAAUCCAAUUGGUUAAAUAUAAAAUUUUAAUUUAAUUAAAAUAGAAUCCCUUCAUGGAAAAAUUUAAAAUAGGCUAGUCAAUAUAAAUUAAUUAACUAUUUUCCGAUGCACCAAAAGAAAAUAUAAAUUAAUUAACUUUUAGUCAAUUUUAAAAUAUAGGCUCUUUUAUAAAAAUAUAAAAACAAAUUAAUAGAAUAAUCACUUUGUUUUAAAAAGUUAAUUUAAGAAAACUAAUUUUUGAAAAGUAUUAUGUAUUUUGUAUUCAAAGGAAAAUUUGAUAUAUUUUACAUUGUUCUAUCAUAUCCUAACAUUAUCAUGUCCACCUCAAACACAAGAUAUGGUAAGAGUCUCUUCUGCUCUUAUCAUAUCCUGUCAUUAUCCAACUCUCUAUCCUACCAUGCUUUUAUCAUAUCUUGACCACUAAACAGAUCCUUAUAUUUUACUCGAUUGGAUGACCACCAAACGGGCAAUUAUUGUUGCUUAAUUACAAAAAUAAAGCUUGCUAAAUGUUAUAAUGCUAAUACAAAAUAAUAUAAAUAUUGUUUUAUUUAAGUCAACAUACUCGUCAACCCCCGAGUAAAUCAAUGGUCUACCAUGCGCAUCACAAGCAAUAUCCUCUACAUGUCCAGGAUCUCUUAAUCUCUCUAUUCAACUCACCAAAAUCUCAACUUUCACUAUCAAUAAUACAAACAUUAAUGUCAUCUAGUGAAGGAGUUGAAUCGUGUAUGUUUGAUGAGGAUCUGAUUUGUCGAGGUUGCUCUGAACGUCCUCUCGAUGGAUCCAUGAAUGUUGGUGGUGGAAUGACCCACAGAGGAUCUGGUGUCAAAAUCGGUGGGGAUGAGAAGAUGAGUGUUGAUUGUGCGCAAUCAUAACACUAUCAACGAGAUUCCUACGUGAAGACUUCAUCUUUAAAGAAGAAAACUGAUAAAGUGCACGAACCUCCCAAUCGGGCAAGCUCACAACCAUUUGAUGGAUCGCAUGAUGACAUAUGUUUAAUUUAUAAUUGUGCUUAUCGACAAUAAUUAGUAUGUAGAUUUAGCAGUGUUAAGGAAACCGAAUUGUAGCGGUCGGUCCGACCGGGAACUGAACUAUUGACCAGUUCGGUCAGGUCAUUGAACCAGACAAUUAUUGAACUGGAAAGUUGGACUAGUGAACCGAUCAAGAAUCAAGAAAAUCAGUCAGUCAAUGGUUUUAGGAGAAAAUAUUUUUAAAAUAAAUUUUGUCAUCAUUAUGAUUUGAACCUUAGACCUUGCAGUUCCAAAAAGCAUUGUAUGUCACCAGGCCACAAGCUCUUUUGUAUUUAAUUAUGUGUAGUUUUAUAUUUAUUAUAAGUAUCCAGUGAUUGGAGAAACAUAUCAUUUAAGACACAUAUUUUUAAUAAUAUAUUCAUAUUACUUAAUAUAUAUGUGUAGAUUUAUAUAUCUAGCAUUAAUAUAUAUAUAUAUAUUAUAAUUAUUAUAUAGAAGAAAAAUAAAUUUACAAGUAUAAAGUCUUUACGGUUCAACUCUUUUAUAUUACGGUUGAACCAUCAAAUUUUGAACCAGUACCUAUGCCGGUUCGAUAAUUAUUCCGGUUUUAAAACAUUGAAAUUUAGUGAUCCACAACUUAUAUACACCCUAAUAAAUUAGAUGUAUAGCUUAAAUAGCUCAAUCAGUAUUUUUGCAAAUUUCAUACAAUUCUAAAUUUAUAACUUGAUAUAUAAUUUUCAUAGAUCUUAUACAAACAUAAUUCUAAAAAAUAAGUAUCAAUUACUAACGUCAAUAUAAACAAUCUCAAGUGCAAGGAACCCCACACUGCAACACGAUGAGAAUCGCAUGUUAAUAAUCACUAAUAAUAUUAUUUUUACACCCAAUAUUCACUCACAUUUGGAGUGAGAAAGAGAGAAAGUGAGAAAAAUGUGGGAUAUGAUGAGAAAAAGAUAAAAGAGAUUAGAAUGAUAUAGCUAGUUUUCCUCUUGUAAAAAAAAAGGAAAAUUAAAAAUGUGAAACUCAUAUAAAAGAGAAAAUGAAUGUAAUUGUAUCAAAAUUGCAUACAAAUAGUUGCUCAUAGUAUGUCGUGUUUCAAUGGCUUUUGUACCUUAGUAGUAUAGUUUUUUUUGAAAAUUACAGUUUUGGGGUACUUUUUCUUUUAUUUACCAAUCUAGUAUAAAUCGCCACUGACAGUGGCGAUUCUAUUUAUUUUUUUUAAUUUUUUUAAAGAAUCGCCAAUAGCAUUGGCGUUUUCAUUUUUUUUUCGUUUUUUUAUAUAAAUCGCCAACCAUGUUGGCGUUUUCUUAUUUUUUUUUCCUGACAAUCACCAACUAUGUUGGUUUUUUUACCUUUUUUUUUAAAUCACCCACACAUUUUUUUAAUUUUUUUAAAUUAGUAAUUAAAAUGGUAUUUAAUCAAUUGAUACUCACAAACAAUUUUGUGUCAUUACUCAUUUUUGCAACACUUUAAUCAUAAAUAUUUGAACUGAUAGUUAAAGAUAAACAUAUGCAUUACAUAAUUUAGUUGGGGAUGAAGAGUAUUGACCAUCUUACUCAGAUCCCAAUUGCAUGCCAAAUCCUCAAUUUAGGCGAGAACUUGCCGGUAGACCAAAUAAUUUAUUAUCAAAGUGCUGCAAAAGUGAGUAAUGACAUAAAAUUGUGUGUGAGCAUCAAUUGAUUAAAUACCAUUUUAAUUACUAAUUUUAAAAAAAAUUAAAAAAGCGUGUGGGCGAUUUAAAAAAAAAUAAAAAGGUAAAAAACGCCAACAUAGUUGGCGAUUGUUAGAAAUAACAAAAAUAAAAAAUAAGAAACGCCAACAUGGUUGGCGAUUUAUAGAAAAAACGAAAAAUAAAUAGAAUCGCCACUGACAGUGGCGAUUUAUACUAGAUUGAUAAAUAAAUAAAAAAGUACCCCAAAACUGUAAUUUCCAAAAAAAACUAUACUACUAGAGUACAAAAGCCUGUUUCAAUUGCUACCUAAAAAAUUGAUAGUUCACUCACUUUAUCAAUUUAAUUGAAGGAUUUAACUGUGAUUGGGUGGGUAAAAGAAUCAGGAAAAAAGCAGAGGUUUUCCUAUUCAUGUAUUGGACUUUCUCCAUGAAAAGAAGGGGGUGCGGCUGCGUGUUUGGUUGAAAGUUGAAACCAUGCAUUGAGCCAACCCCAAAGAAGUCCAUAAGGCCAUGUUUUUUAAAAUCUUUUUUUUUAUAAAAUGAAAUAAGAUAUAUAUAUAUAUAUAUAUAUAUCAAACCAACAAAAGCUAGCAUAAACCAAGACACUACAGCAAAAACCUCUAAAAAUCCACAGGCAACACCAAGCCAAACAGCUAGGAUAGUAAAGUUUCCAACAUUGUUACAUCCACAUAUAAACUUUCAAGAAUAAGAGAUCUCAAAAUUGUAAUCGGCAAAAUGUAAAAACCAAUUGUUGGAUAAAUAAACAAGGCAAGAGCUCACAACCAAAGGGAAACUUGUAAUAAUAACAAGAUGUAAGCAGCUCGAUGCUUCCAACUCCUUUCCAUUCGUCAAUGUUGUUGGUCUUUAUCAUGAAACUCCACCAUAAAAGAAUCAAUCUUGAAUCCUUUAAAUUUUUUGACUAAUUGAUCUAUUUGUCUCACAAAUUCCUCCCUGCAUUAAUCCAAAGUUUGUAUUUUAAAUUUUCAUAAUCCACCUCAAAAUUAAGAUAUCCUGUUUUACUCAUAUAGCUUUGACCAAAAAUAAAGAAAAUCAUAUGAAUAUGCAUUCAUUUACAUUACAUUUUUUUUCAGUUUCAUUUUCUCCUCAGAUGUCUCUUUUUUUCUUAUCUCGUAUUACAUACAUCACUUAUCUUUCUUAUAUGCAUCUUUCUCUUAGUGUGAGUGUAAAAGAAGUGUGAAUACACGCAACAUUUUCCGUAAGGGAGCAAGUCCACUAGUCCAAACGCAGCCAACCUAUAAAUAAAUAAUUUUAACUUUUGAGCAAUUUUUUAAAAGCAACUUCAAUUGUACUAUAAAACUAUGCUCCUUUAACAAAUUAAACUAAACUGUUCAUUUUUUCCGAUUAUAUUCCCGUAUGCAAUUUACAUUAGUUGAUGAUCAUGCAUGGAAUGGAAACAGCCUCGUCCUUAUUUCCAUGAAUAAAGCAGACACAUCACAGAUAUCCAUCUUCUUUUUAUGGUGGCUUUUAACCUUUCAUCUAAUUUAUUAUUAAUAUCCAGCUGCACUAAUAAUAGAAAUUGUUCAGUUUUCCCCCUUUUAUUAAACUUUUUUCGCUAAUGUGGUUGUAUAGCUAUAUAGUCCAUAGUCCUUUUCAGUUUUUCACUUUUUCUACAACAUUUUAUCAUAACUUUUAUUUGUGCUCUCUAUCUUUUAUAACAAUGUCUAAAAUAAUGUAGGCCCUUUUGUUCACUUGGCAAUCUUGUACUGCGCAGUUCUAUUUUGGAUCAUGGUAACUCAAAUUAUUUUCUUCCCAUUAUUAUUUGGGCAUUUUUCCAUGAAGCAAAGCAGAAAAAAUCUCCUACUCUCAUCUUUAAGGUUGAUUUUGAGAAAGCGUACGACUCGGUUAAAUGGGACUUUCUAUUCUACAUGUUCCGAAGAAUGGGCUUUCUGUCUAAGUGGAUUCAGUUGAUUAAGGGCUGCCUUGAGUCUUCCUGGAUUUCUAUUCUUAUCAAUGGGAGUCCUUCGGAGGAGUUCAGAAUGAGGAAGGGCCUAAGACAAGGGGAUCCCUUGGCGCCUUUCCUCUUCCUGAUUGUUGCAGAAGGUUUAAAUGGGCUCAUGAAGCAGGCUCAAUCAAAAUAAAUUCUCUCCUUGCUUGGUUGGCCGAUGUAACCCUGUUAGUGUGUCGUUAUUACAAUUUGCAGACGAUACUCUCUUUCUUGGAGAAGCUUCUCUUUCGAAUGUUUUUCUUAUCAAAAGUGUAUUAUGCUGUUUUGAAUUAAUCUCUGGCCUAAAAGUUAAUUUUUCGAAGAGUAAGCUUCUUGGAGUUGCUGUAAAUGAGAGGGUUUGUAGAAGAUUUGCAGCACUGUUGAAUUGCAAAAUUAUGACAGCUCCGUUCAUUUAUCUUGGCCUCCCUAUUGGCGAUAACUCGAGACGUGUGAAAUUCUGGGAUCCUGUGAUUGCCAAGGUUAAACAGAGACUUUCUAGCUGGAGAAGGCGCACCCUGUCAUUUGGUGGUAAGUUAUGCCUGAUUAAGAGCAUUCUUUCUGCCCUUCCCCUUUACUAUAUUUAUGUUUUCCGUAUGCCUUCCGGAGUUGUAAAAAGAUGUAUUAGCCUUAUGAGGUCUUUUUUGUGGGGAGGUGUGGAGGGAGAAAAUAAAAUUACAUGGGUCAACUGGGACAAGGUUUGUAGACCUAUUGAAGAGGGGGGUCUUGGGGUGAGGGACUUGGGAAAAUUUAAUAAAGCCUUAUUAGGUAAGUGGAGAUGGAGAAUGUCUUUAGAGGGAGAGAAUUUCUGGUGUAGGCUGUUACAUGCGAAGUAUGAGGAUGAUGUUCCUAAUCACUCCUCGAUCUGGUGGAAAGAUCUUCACUCCUUGUGUUUUGGAAGAGGGGAAGGUAAGUGGUAUGGUGAAGGAAUUCGCUGGAAGCUUGGGGAUGGAGGUAAGGUAAAAUUCUGGUCUGAUAUUUGGAUUGGAUGAGCCCCUGUGUCGCGUUUUUAGUCCUUUAUUUCAAGUGUCAGCUCAACAGAAUCUUAAAAUUCUAGAGAUGGGCGAGUUGAGUGAUUCUAGCUGGGUGUGGUGUUUUUCUUGGCAGUCCCCUUUGGAUUCAACACUAGGACGACUUUUAGUAGAUAUGCAGCAAAUGAUAAACUGUUUUGUGCCCUCCAGGGGUAGGUUCGAUUCUUGGAAAUGGAUUCCUGACCAACAUGGAAAUUUUUCAGGCAAGUCUGCCUAUGAUUUUCUACAUGGAUGUGUCAAUGCUCAAUGGGAUAACAUUUUUAAGCUGUUGUGGUCUGUCAAGGUCCCAUCAAAUGCGAUUGCAUUGAGCUGGAAAGUGCUUAUUAAUAUGGUCCAAACCAAGGUGAACCUGAAUCGAAGAGGAGUUGUAGUUUCAAAUGUUUGUCCCUUGUGUUCUUUGGACGAGGAAAGUACAGAUCACUUGUUCUUCUCUUGUCCGGUUGCUUGGAGAAUUUGGUCAAAAAUCUCCGAGUGGUUUGGUGUUCUCUCAGUAUUUCCUAAUGACAGCCAUGGCCAUUUUCUUCAACACCUAGGUUCAUNNNNNNNNNNNNNNNNNNNNNNNNNNNNNNNNNNNNNNNNNNNNNNNNNNNNNNNNNNNNNNNNNNNNNNNNNNNNNNNNNNNNNNNNNNNNNNNNNNNNNNNNNNNNNNNNNNNNNNNNNNNNNNNNNNNNNNNNNNNNNNNNNNNNNNNNNNNNNNNNNNNNNNNNNNNNNNNNNNNNNNNNNNNNNNNNNNNNNNNNNNNNNNNNNNNNNNNNNNNNNNNNNNNNNNNNNNNNNNNNNNNNNNNNNNNNNNNNNNNNNNNNNNNNNNNNNNNNNNNNNNNNNNNNNNNNNNNNNNNNNNNNNNNNNNNNNNNNNNNNNNNNNNNNNNNNNNNNNNNNNNNNNNNNNNNNNNNNNNNNNNNNNNNNNNNNNNNNNNNNNNNNNNNNNNNNNNNNNNNNNNNNNNNNNNNNNNNNNNNNNNNNNNNNNNNNNNNNNNNNNNNNNNNNNNNNNNNNNNNNNNNNNNNNNNNNNNNNNNNNNNNNNNNNNNNNNNNNNNNNNNNNNNNNNNNNNNNNNNNNNNNNNNNNNNNNNNNNNNNNNNNNNNNNNNNNNNNNNNNNNNNNNNNNNNNNNNNNNNNNNNNNNNNNNNNNNNNNNNNNNNNNNNNNNNNNNNNNNNNNNNNNNNNNNNNNNNNNNNNNNNNNNNNNNNNNNNNNNNNNNNNNNNNNNNNNNNNNNNNNNNNNNNNNNNNNNNNNNNNNNNNNNNNNNNNNNNNNNNNNNNNNNNNNNNNNNNNNNNNNNNNNNNNNNNNNNNNNNNNNNNNNNNNNNNNNNNNNNNNNNNNNNNNNNNNNNNNNNNNNNNNNNNNNNNNNNNNNNNNNNNNNNNNNNNNNNNNNNNNNNNNNNNNNNNNNNNNNNNNNNNNNNNNNNNNNNNNNNNNNNNNNNNNNNNNNNNNNNNNNNNNNNNNNNNNNNNNNNNNNNNNNNNNNNNNNNNNNNNNNNNNNNNNNNNNNNNNNNNNNNNNNNNNNNNNNNNNNNNNNNNNNNNNNNNNNNNNNNNNNUUCCAAGACAAGUGUUUCGACACGAAACCCUAGACUAUACAAACGAUCGAUUUCAAUUGUCGGAAGUUGCCGAAACCGAGUUCCUGAUAACUCAAGAACCUUAAAACGAACUGUAGAUGAAGACUUUUUUAUUCGGAGCUUCAAACGAAGAUUCUACACGCGUACACCCAUUUCUUUCGAUGUUUUCGACCUUUCUUCAGAAGGAAGUUUUCUCUUCCGACAUCAACUGCAAAAAGUAACUUUUCGGGUUGAAUCGAUUAACACCGUUAGUGAAUCGAUUAACACCGUUAGUGAAUCGUUUGCUUAAAUUCCAAGUAACCUGCUUCAAGUUCUGGAAUUCUGUCGCCGGAUUCUAUCUUAUAAUUCACAGAGGAAUGUGCAGGAAAAAUCGGAAUCGCAAAAUUUUCAUUUUCCCGCGUUUUCCAUCUCCUAUAAAUAGGAGAAAAACUCAAAAAUCCUCACCAUUCAAGCACCAAACCCGCGACCAAGGAGGAGAAAAAGGGAGGAGAGCUUUUCUCCGAUUCUUGCCUGAUCGUCGCACUGACAGUUGUUAUACGUAGGCCUCGAGGUACUGAUGCUUUUCCCUACCUCUGAUCGUAAAUUAUGUCGCUUUUCUCUAUGUCUUUCUGUGCUCAAAGUUUUGAGCUUUUGUAAAACUGUCCAAAUAACUUGAUUUCAGUGUCUAAACUUAUUGCCUACAUGCCCAAGAGCAUGAAUAUCCGGUUGUUUUCUGCUGAAUCUCGUCGAAUCGUCGCAGAGCUUCAAUUCUGUGAAAAUACCCAUUUACUAACCAAAGCUUCGUUCUUUGGAUUAAAAACAUUCGACUGAGCUUAGUGUUAGUAGGAUUAGUUGUUAUAAAUGUCGUUAGGAACACGCUCAUCAAAUUUAUUUCUCAAAAUUCCGACUUUGAGUUUUCGGGCUAAAAACACUGACCAAAAUACCCCUGUGUUAGUUUUCGACCCGAUAAUUUUUCUAAGAGUUUCCCUGGCCUAAAUUAGAUCGAAGAAAAAGUUUGGGAAACCCUAUUUUGAUAGUGGCCGAAACUUAUUUGCUGUGGUACUGUAUCCAAAAAUAAUUUUUGGGUAGGUAUGACCUGAGUUAUAGCGUAGCUCUCUCCGUUGUCGAAAUUUGGGCCNNNNNNNNNNNNNNNNNNNNNNNNNNNNNNNNNNNNNNNNNNNNNNNNNNNNNNNNNNNNNNNNNNNNNNNNNNNNNNNNNNNNNNNNNNNNNNNNNNNNNNNNNNNNNNNNNNNNNNNNNNNNNNNNNNNNNNNNNNNNNNNNNNNNNNNNNNNNNNNNNNNNNNNNNNNNNNNNNNNNNNNNNNNNNNNNNNNNNNNNNNUUUAAAUUUGAUUGACAUUUAAUUAUGGCUAUUGAACUUAUUGAGACGUGUGUCUCCGUUUUCUGAGAGGCUUCGACCGUUUACUGGUUUCUGUCAUUACUGCUUUGUAGUGGAUAAGACAUGGUUAUUGUUGAUACUUGACUUGAUUAUUGAAUUUGGAAUUGUUGAUUGAGUGACCACAGAGCUUGAUUAUGUCGUUGACUAACUUGGCAUAUAGCACUUGAACUUGAAGUGGCAAUGUGGUGGCGAUGGUCCCACGUGAUUGUCCCGUCUUUCGAGGCGUUAUAAAGUGGCGAUGUGGUGGAUAUUGUCCCCCGUGAUCGUUCCAUCUUUCGAGAUGUCCUAAAGUGGCAAUGUAGUGGCGAUGGUCCCACAUGAUUGUCUCCUCCAUAGUGGCGUUAAGUGGCGGUGUGGUGGAUGUUGUCCCACGUGAUCGUCCCAUCUUGCGAGAUGUCCUAAAGUGGCAAUGUGGUGGAUGUUGUCCCACGUGAUUGUCUCAACCUAUGAGACGCUAAAGUGGCAUUGUCCCGUUUUGCGAGACGUUAUUGAUCGAUCCAUAUUGGUAGAAGCAUAUAGUCGCAUUAUAGGACACUAACAUUUGAUUCUGUUUAUAUCUGCUCUAAUUAUAUGUCGUUGAUUCUAUGAUAUCUGCUUUAAUUCUAUUUCUUUGAUUCUAUGAUAUGUGCUUUAAUUCUAUGUUGUUGAUUAUGCUAUUAUAUGAUUCAAUUAUAUGUUGCUGAUUUUAUUGAUAUCUUUCUUGAAACAUAUUGUUAACUUAUUUAUCGGAAUGUUUUGGAGCUCUGGAAGUGGCGAUGUGGUGGAUAUUGUCCCACGUGAUCGUCCCGUCUUUCGAGACGUUAUUAAGUAGCAGUGUGGUGGAUAUUGUCCCACGUGGAUAUUUUCAAGACGUUAUUAAGUGCACUUAAAUUUGAAUAGCAUGUUUUUCUCUUUUAUAUGUGGUAGUUGUAUGGAGUUAACCCUUUCUGUUUGCUACUUGUUGUUUAAGCGCUUAACGCUAUUAGGCGAUGGAGAGUCUUCCGACGAUGCUUAGCCAUGCACGAGAUGGAGGAGGGAUAGAAAGCUGCGGAGCAGAGAUAGAAGAAGCUGGCUGGUUAUUGUUUAGUAGUUUAUGUUUUGAGUCUUCUUCAUCUUCUGAAAACUCUAUUACUAAAACCCUGUUUCGCCACUGUUUAAGUGUGCGUAUUGAUUUUGGAACCCUGCUUAUGUUAUUGCAAGAUACUACUAUUAUUAUAUGUCGGGAAUUGGAAGUUUAAUUAAGGCCAUGUUAUGUUUCAAACCCUAUGGUUGAAGUGUUUAGUUGUCUUUCAAGAAAAAAAUAUAUCCUUUCUCUUUAGGAUUGCAAACUAGUCAUUAGACUUUGAUAGAUUCCUAAUGUGACUCCUCGGUUGAGAAAUCGGGGCGUUACAAGAAACAUAAAAAUCGUGACAAUGUUUGGAUAUUUAGUAAUACAAGUGUUAAUGAACAUUAACACACUCAUAAAGUAAAAAUAAAUGAUAAUUUAAUGAUAAAUUGUGAUGAAAAUCCUCUUACAUUUUACUUAACUAGUACUAAUAUUCAAGCCCACACUACUUUUUAGUUCCAACUUUUAUAAGGAAGCAAAUGGUUUUCCAAAGUAACCUUUCACUGUAAAAAUCUAGUACUAUAAUGUACACCCGUGCGAUGCACAUGUUAAAAUUGUCUUUUUAUGGUGAAAUUAAUAAGAGAAAAUUAAAUGAAAAAUCAAUUGGGAAUAUUCAAUUUUUAGUUUAAUAAAAACAUACACGCUCAAUUGUGCUUAUACAAUUUUAGUUAAAGUGGAAAUAAAAUGAAACAAUAAGAAGAUUUUGUGUCAUGAACAGAUCAUUAUAUUUAUAAAACUAAAAAUAAAAAAAUCAAAUAUUUAUCUAAACUUAUGAAAAACAUCUAAAAUUAUAUAGAAAUUUAUUUCGGUUAAAUAUGUUCGAGGUCCUUGAACUGUAGCAAGAAAUCGAAAUAGAGAUUUGAAGACAAAAUCCAGAAUUUCACCUUACCAUUUACCAACCAAAAAACGAAACUUAACGCCAACCAUAAAACCUAUACCCACCAUAGUUACCCAUUACAUAAACCUCCCCAUCGCAAUAAUUGUUGUCAAAACAUCAAUCACAAUCCAUGACAACCCCAAACCAAACAUGAGCUGUUUCACAAGUUUUGUUUCUUCUAUCUGCAUCCUCUGAUCUACCAAAUGCUCAAUCUACAGCUUCAUCAAUUUCUUCUCUGCUUUCCUCAAUUCAUGGUGAAUGAACAUUCUCAUUGAAAUUUGCAGAUUCAAAAUCCUCCUCCUCCUCAUCAAGCCAUUUGAAAUAGUCACAACCUGAAGACAACAAAGCACAUAUGGAGGGUGCUAAGAACAUUCACACACAAUGAUAUUGAAAUUCAACAAAAGAAAACAAAGAAGAAAGAAGGGGUAGAAAUCACACACGUACCAGUAAGGGCAGCUACAAAACUUUCUCCCUGGGUUGAUGUCAGUGUGUGAUGUAUAUAGGCACAACCUUCAACUCGUAUUUGCAACUCCUCCUUGAUGUACCCCGACUUGCAGAAGAUGAGCUACAACAUUUGGAAGAAGAAUAGUCGUACUUCAUGUGCUCUGGAUCGUCGUGCACCAUAGGGGCGGAGGCACCGGGUGGCUCACCGGUGCCGCCGCGUCCCCCAUUUUUUUUAUUUUCAUCCUAAAAAUAUGUAUAUUUUUCUUUUAGCCCCAAUGAAAAAUUAACUAAAUAUUAUCGGGUGUAGCUCAUAUAAAUUAACACAUGGUGGUGUGUUGGUUUGCACUUGCAAAUUUCUUACCACGUCCCCGGUUCGAAUCCUUAGUGCAACAUUUAAUUUUCAUUUUUGGACAAAAAGGUUAUAAAAAAUGCUUUGAAUAGGAUUCGAACCUCCUAUUGACGAUUUAUUGUAUUUAUACAUAUAAGAAUAUCAUCAUUGGGUAUGUUUGACAAAACUUAUGAGUUGGUUUUUUUGACGGGUUAGUAUUUCUUAUACUCAAAUUAAUUAUAUAUCUCGUCUGCUUAUAAAAAUUAUGAAAUAUAUUAAUUGACUUACACAUGUGGAGUCACUUGGAUGAUUGUUUUAUAAAGUUAUAUUUGAUAUAAUAUGAAGUUUGUUAAAAUGAAGGAUAAAAGGUUGAAUAUGUGUAUAAAAUUAUACGUAAAAUAUGUUCAAAAAAUUAAUAUUGUUUAGAUAAAAAAAAAAGUUAAAUGAUUUUUUAUUUAAUAUUUGGCCACCCCACCCAGUGCCAAUAUCCUGGCUCCGCCCCUGACCACCUCCUCCAGUAUGCGUUGUCGAACAAUUCCUCUGCUUUGCCUCCGUCUUCGUCCUCUACCAAACUUCAACCUUCUCUUACAGGAACCCUAGAAAAUGGAGACUGGGGGAAAUCCAAUCCGAUAUCAUCGAGGAAGGAGAAGGAAACUGGGAAAAGAAGGGGAAAAAUAUAUAAAGUAAUUACUUAUGUUAAGUGGAAAAAAAGUUAUUUCAAAAAUAAAAUAAAUGACAUGUCAUCACUUACAGAUGCCAUGUAAGCACAACAAGCGGUAAAGGGAUGAGAGCCAACCGGUUUCCUAAGCUUAAGAUGGCAACCAAUGAAAUUUUUGUUUAUGGACGUAUAUCAAUUUGUCACUAUAGUUCACGGACCUCGAACAUAUUUAACCCAAUUUAUUUUUGGUUAUUUAUAACUUGAAAAUAUUUUAACAUAAAUGUUCUUCCCAUUGCAAUCUCUAUUUUCACAAUCAAGUUGUAAUGCUUUUAUAUAUCUACUCUUAAAAUUAUUUUAAAAGAAUGGAAAGUACUAAAAAUAUAUUAAAACAUAUUUUUCAAUCAGUUUCAACUUGAAAGUAUUUUCAUGUAAAAUGUCUCUUCCCGUAGGAGCUUUUUACUGUGUAAUAAAUAAAUAUAGAGUUAAUAUGUUAAUUUAUUCCAAUCCUUGUAUGACAACUUUUUAGCAUCAUAAUUCCAUAUUUUUAUAUAUAUUUACUUUUAAACAUGUGAAAAGGAAAAUCUUAAAUCACAUAGAAAUUUAUUUUAUGUUAUUUUUAACUUGGAAAUGUUUUAAUGUAAAUGUUGUUCCCCGUGGGAGACAUAUUAAAGAAGUUUUUAUUUAAUUUAAUAAAUAAAUACAUUUAUUAAAUUUACUUAAUGAAUUUUAAUUUAUUUGAUUCAAAUAAUUGAAGAAAAGAAUCAAUGUAGACUUCAAUUUAAUUUAUUCAUGCAUAAUACUCCAUGAGAAAAGUUGUUAUUUAUUUUAGAUAAGUAAACAAAUCUAUUUAUCAAAUUUAUUUGAUGCAUUAUGACUUAUUUUCUCUUUUAAUUUGAUUCAAAUAAUUGAAGUUUUUAGAUUUUAUUUAAUUAUUGAAUUUACUUGAUGCAUUAUGAUUUAUUUGGUUUCUUUUAUCGUGACUCAAGCAUUUGAGCUUAGGAUUAUCAAACCAAUCUUAACAGUAGGAUUGAUUUUGUUUAAAUUUUUUUAAACAAUUACAUGCAAAUCUUUGGUUCAAUUCAAAAUUUCAUAUCAACACCAAACACUACACUGAGAAAAAGCUUAAAUUCAAGUCUUUUAAUUUAAUUUCGCCUAUUAAAUAGCAAAAGAGAAAAAAGAAUGGAAAAUGAGAAAAAGCUGGAGGAUCCCAAACACUAAAAUGCAAAUAUUAGAUCUACUUAAUUAUACAUAGAAAUUAGGAUUAAACAUACAAAAGCAACUCAGGAAGAUAAAACAGACAAAGGGUGAACAACACCCAAUCUGGUAAACACAUCAUUCAUAACUAAACCUAGAUUCAAACUUUGGCUACCCUAAUCCACAUGACCAAUCCUGGCUUCAGGAUUUGUAAACCUGUGUGAUCUCCUCAAAUGGCAACAAAUUGAUAACUUCACAAAAGUUUCUCCAACCUCGACCAAUUUUGACAUAAUUUCGGUUUGGGGGCAUGUUGAUUCGGCACUCAAUCUCCGCACCGGAAGGCCCAAUAAAGAUCCAGCUAUCAACAACGACUUUCCUAAGAUAGGCAGCAACAAAGAAAGGAAUAUGUUGCACGUAAAAUAAGUGAAGACAAUUUUUUUUCGAAAAUGAAAGAUAGAAUAAAAUAGAUAAACAAGUCUGAGAACAACCUACUCAGAGAUAGGCUAAACAGAAA
rnacentral:lncRNA from 1 species